GUGGGCUUACUGGUGAUCAGGUUUGUCCCUGUGCACCCAGCAGCGGUGGAAGUUCUGGGAUCACCACAGCUCCAGUCUGGGCCGCGGCUGAGGAAGGAGGAGGUGAGAUGGGCCCUGGGAGCUGCUGACGCCUGCAGGUGAGGUGAAGGAGCCGGGGCUCGGCCUUUCCACCUCUUCUGGUAGCACUGGUUUGCUCGACAAAGUAGCAGCUGGAAGGAGAGCAGACGCAGCUGUGGGGUAGGAGGCCAAAGGAGAAAGGCGAGAGGAGGAAAGACCACUGCGAGGCCGCUCAUGCAGCCAAGCCAGCUGCAGAGCUCUCGUGGGUUUUGUUGUUGUUGUUGUUGUUUAAUUGUUUUUUAUACUAACAGGCAAUUAAAGUGAUCUAUUUCUUUCUUUCUGUCUUUUAUGUUUCUCUCGUAAUGAGUCAUUUCCUGGGGGUGGAAGGGAAACAGCAUUUCUUCUCAAAGCUUCAGAACAGAGUUUUGGCAUUUGGGUUGUGGCUUUUUUACUUUACUUGCUUGCCUGCUUGCUCUCAAUGAAGCAGCUACAUCAAAACAAGCAUGGAAAAAUAAGAAGCCACACAUGGAUAACGCCUGAACUCUGCUCUUUGCCCACAGGAAGGGAUGUCCAUAUAGCAGGCGGCCCAAGGCAGCGCACAAGAUCAGCCAAGUUUCCCAGGCUGGAGAAGUGGGUCACUGUGCAUAGCAUACAGGGCCGUAGCAGAGGUGUCCUUCCCUCCCUGUGGGCAGAGAGCUUUCCUGCUGCCACGUGAAGCUGCCUUUCCACCUCCUGGACCGUGUCUGGCUUCUGCAGGCGGAAUGCUGGUAAGCAGUGCGAGGAAGGGAGGUAACAGGGACUGGCUUUGUUGGAAAACUUCAGCCCCAAGACAAAUGCAGCAGCUUGCGGCUCCCCAGCCAGGGGGUGCUGCCAAACGGAUGCUCUGCAGUGAGCGCUGACAAGAAACAAAUGUAUCCAAGAUGGAGAAAUGAUCUUUCUGUUAAAGCUUACCGCAAAUAAAGCUGCAAAUGUUGCUAUUGGGGUGGGAGCUUGAGCUGUGACUGAGUGGAUUUUCCAUCCCUCAAUAAAGCUGAUGUUGGCCCAAACUGUAAAGCACAAAGCUUGCUGCUUAAAAGCAAACAAACAAAAGCCAAAGAUCUACCCUUUAAGUCUGCUUUCUUUUUGGAUGAGGCUAAAAUCAUGCUUAGAAUUGUAUUUCUUGCUGCUCUGAAGGGACCCAGUCCAGAAAAGCAGGAAAGCAGCUCGGUGCACGCAGACAGCUUUACUCAUCUCAUGGAACAGCAGAACCGAUUCAGGUUCUUUCAUCCAGUGCACCCGGCCUCUGCAGCCCCCCAGCAGCAGCACCAAAGAGGGAAUGCAUCCUCAGUUCAAUCCCCUGCUCCCUCACACGCUGUCAGAAGCAUGUAACCACAACAACCGGCUUCAUCCUGGCUUUCUAGGGAGAGCAGAGGUGACAACUGCUUAAAGAGAAGGGAGGAGGAGAUAAUACUCGAGAGCUGUGCUGUCUUGUUUCCAGCCUCAAAUGCAUGCUCCGGGUGAAAACAUCUAAACUGUUUUUCAGAUUCGCAUCCCUUUCAGUGGGACCACUGAUGCUCUCAGGCUAACAGCAUUUUUAGUUCUGUACUCUUAAAAAAUGAAAUCCAAGCUGAUUGUAAUGGCUUUAUUUCCGCUGAAGAAUAUGGUUUACAGUAUGGAUAUAAAGACUGUCUUCACCUGAACGACAACUGGAAAGGUUCAUAUGCUUCAGUAAAGCACUGCUGGUUUGUUACAGACAGUAGUAUGCAUAAGAAUAAAUGUACUUUGCUAUUCCAAUUACAUGAUCAGCACUCAUGAAUGGGAGCCUGAGCUUUAUCUCCACUGACCCUGAGAAGCCCCUGGAGAUUUAUGAUGAAAUGAAGCAUAUGUUUUCUGGUGAUUUCUGGAAAAUGAAGAAACAACAACCACUCGUUCUGAUCUUCUCGGGAAACAAAGUGAUAUAUCAUCAGAGCUUCCAUAUUGCCGCAGGGGAAUUUGGAGGGUCCCUACUUUUACUCCCUCAGCACACGCGGAUUUGGCAAUGCUAUGCAGAUGAACAGCAAUUCUGGCUCUUGCUGAUAAAUCAGACCACUUUAAUAGGCUCAGGAAAAUGAUGUGGAAUGUAAAGUGUUCUGCCCUUGUAACCAGCACGGUGGAGCCGCAGGACAUGUUGGAAAUGACACAAUGAACCACUGUGUGCUCUUAUUUGGUAUGUUCACCUCUGUGAUAUUCAUAUUUUGUGUAGCUAUUUGAAGACUUGCCAUGCUCACCUGAGUCACCUUGCCACAUCCAUCACUAGUUGGCUAAAGCCUGAUGCUAAAAGUCUCACUGAUACAUAUUUGAAUUACUUCCCAUCCUUUAGUGGGCUUGGCAAUUUGUUUAUUAUUAAAUGCUUGAAUAUUCUACCCUUGAAGGCCAUCUAUUAACAUUUAGUGAAGAACUAAGGUACUUCACUGAGUCCUAGUGUCAUGUUAGUUACAAGGCACAGCAGUAGGGAUAUCUUUAUUUACAGAUCAUUAAGAAGAUGAGUUCUGCGGCAACAGGCAGAUAUAAUUGUUUUUCUUGAGCAUUUUCAAGGUAUUUGGUCAAGUGAAAACUAUGCAGACGCCUGCUGGCUGCAAAAUGAAAAGGAGAAAGAGAAGAGGGUAGUAUGGGGUUGGAGGAAAAGAGAGAUGACCCGAGAGAGGCCGCUGGCUUGAAGCAGUAUUAUUGAGGGGAACACAGAGAGAAGGAUCCAAAACGGUCAUUCUUCAAGUAGUGGUGGAGGGGUUGAGCAUGAGAAACACUGACACACUCUCUAUCCUAUUUCUGUGUCAACCACAGCAGAGUACCUGGACAUAAUGAUGUGGGAAGGAGUGCAGAAGCUUUGCAUUUCCUGGAAACAUUCUCAUCCGAGGGCAGCUGUCAGUUCUUUAGCAAAAGAGGUGGCUGAAGGACAGAGGGAGAAACCUAUGAGGAACAAAAGCAUCCAAGGAGCAGCCAGCAUGAUGGACUACGAUUGUUCUAUCUCACUCUGCGGAGGAAUCACUUUCAGUUUCAUCAGCUGUCUGAUUGUUCUGUAUAGGCUCUGUUUCUGCCAUCUGAAAGAACCCAGAGCACAACAUCACUAGGUAGGAUGUGCUUCAGUGCUCAGCCAGGCCCAGGGGGCCUCUCAGCAGGACGUGCCUGGGACACAGGUAACAAAUGGAUGUUCUCUGUCCUCUGGAGGAAACGUGUCUACACCAGAGGCCACGCUUUCAAGCUGUUGGAGACACACAGCUGUCAAUUUCUCCCUCAACAACCACCACAAACACAAUUAUGGCUGACUGAACUUAGGAUUUUUAAAAUCCCUAUUGUUAGUAAAACUAAAGAUUGAUGUGAAUGGGGGUUGGCAUUACCUUCUACAUGCCAAAGACAAAGGAUUAUCACGCAUGAUUGACUCUUUUGUGACUUCCUGAAAAAAAAAAAAAAACUUUCUUACACUUAGCAAAUGUCAAGACUAGGAAAGUUAGUCUCAGGUUUGUCACUAAUGAAAUGGCCUCAGCUCAGUGCCCUUGCUGAGUUUUUGAAGCUUUGUUCCUCGAGUCAAGUAAAUGAUGCACCAGGAAGGUGUAGAUGCGUGUGAUGUGCAUCAGGGCAGGGCGG
ensembl:lncRNA